GACGAACGCUGGCGGCGUGCUUAACACAUGCAAGUCGAACGGAAAGGCCCUGCUUGCAGGGUACUCGAGUGGCGAACGGGUGAGUAACACGUGAGUGAUCUGCCCUGCACUUCGGGAUAAGCUUGGGAAACUGGGUCUAAUACCGGAUAGGAGCCAUCUUUAGUGUGGUGGUUGGAAAGUUUUUUCGGUGUAGGAUGAGCUCGCGGCCUAUCAGCUUGUUGGUGGGGUAAUGGCCUACCAAGGCGGCGACGGGUAGCCGGCCUGAGAGGGUGUACGGCCACAUUGGGACUGAGAUACGGCCCAGACUCCUACGGGAGGCAGCAGUGGGGAAUAUUGCACAAUGGGCGCAAGCCUGAUGCAGCGACGCCGCGUGGGGGAUGAAGGCCUUCGGGUUGUAAACUCCUUUCGCUAGGGACGAAGCUUUGUUGUGACGGUACCUAGAUAAGAAGCACCGGCUAACUACGUG
rnacentral:rRNA from 1 species